rnacentral:rRNA from 1 species
CAGUCGCCGCGGUAAUACGUAGGUGGCAAGCGUUAAUCGGAAUUACUGGGCGUAAAGCGUGCGUAGGCGGUUAUAUAAGUCAGAUGUGAAAUCCCCGGGCUCAACCUGGGAACUGCAUUUGAGACUGUAUGGCUAGAGUGUGUCAGAGGGGGGUAGAAUUCCACGUGUAGCAGUGAAAUGCGUAGAUAUUGGGAGGAACACCGGCGGCGAAGGCGGCUUACUGGACGACAACUGACGUUGAGGCUCGAAGGCGUGGGUAGCAAACAGGAUUAGAUACCCCUGUAGUCCCUGUCUCUUAUAC